rnacentral:rRNA from 1 species
UACGUAGGGUGCAAGCGUUGUCCGGAAUUAUUGGGCGUAAAGAGCUCGUAGGCGGUUUGUCGCGUCGAAUGUGAAAACCCGAGGCUUAACCUCGGGCCUGCAGGCGAUACGGGCAGACUUGAGUACUGUAGGGGAGACUGGAAUUCCUGGUGUAGCGGUGAAAUGCGCAGAUAUCAGGAGGAACACCGGUGGCGAAGGCGGGUCUCUGGGCCGUAACUGACGCUGAGGAGCGAAAGCGUGGGGAGCGAACAGG